rnacentral:rRNA from 1 species
CACUGCCGAGAAAAGCCUCUAGAUAGAAAAUAGGUGCCCGUACCGCAAACCGACACAGGUAGUCAAGAUGAGAAUUCUAAGGUGAGCGAGCGAACUCUCGUUAAGGAACUCGGCAAAAUGACCCCGUAACUUCGGGAGAAGGGGUGCUCUUUAGGGUUAACGCCCAGAAGAGCCGCAGUGAAUAGGCCCAAGCGACUGUUUAUCAAAAACACAGGUCUCUGCUAAACCGUAAGGUGAUGUAUAGGGGCUGACGCCUGCCCGGUGCUGGAAGGUUAAGAGGAGUGGUUAGCUUCUGCGAAGCUACGAAUCGAAGCCCCAGUAAACGGCGGCCGUAACUAUAACGGUCCUAAGGUAGCGAAAUUCCUUGUCGGGUAAGUUCCGACCCGCACGAAAGGCGUAACGAUUUGGGCACUGUCUCAACGAGAGACUCGGUGAAAUCAUAGUACCUGUGAAGAUGCAGGUUACCCGCGACAGGACGGAAAGACCCCGUGGAGCUUUA